UACGUAGGGUGCAAGCGUUGUCCGGAAUUAUUGGGCGUAAAGAGCUCGUAGGCGGUUUGUUGCGUCGGCUGUGAAAUCCCGAGGCUCAACCUCGGGUCUGCAGUCGAUACGAGCAAACUAGAGUGUUGCAGGGGAGACUGGAAUUCCUGGUGUAGCGGUGAAAUGCGCAGAUAUCAGGAGGAACACCGGUGGCGAAGGCGGCAUCCUGGACCAUAACUGACGCUGAGGCGCGAAAGCGUGGGGAGCAAACAGG
rnacentral:rRNA from 1 species